rnacentral:lncRNA from 1 species
GCCCCCCGUCCCCAUCGUGGGCAUCAUUGUUGGCCUGGUACUGGUCCUGGUCGCUGGAGCCAUGAUGGCUGGAGUUGUGAUCUGGAGGAAGAAGCGCCCAGUGAAAGAGGAGGGAGCUACACUCAGGCUGCAGGCAGUGACAGUGCUCAGGGCUCUGAUGUGUUUCUUCCAAUGGAUCCUAGAGUGUGAGACAGCUGCCUUGUGGGGACUGACUGACACAAGAUUUGUUCACGUCCCACUUUGUGACUUCAGAUCCCCUGACUCCUAUUUCUGCAGCUGCCUCUGAAAGAGUCUGUGUUUCUAUGAGCAUCAUGAAGGGGGUCUCAGCCUCCACAGCCCCUGCCGUCGGACAGGAGGAGGAGGAGAGACCAGCAGCAGAGACUCCCAUCCUGCCUGAAAUAUCCGGGGAACCGUGGGUAGAAAGGACGGGAAGGGAAGGGGAGAGUCCCGGUGACCCCAACACUCUGAGGGAAGCCCCAGGGCUGGAAAGAAGAGGAGGGUGACAGGUUCCAGGCUCCCUGUGCCGCCCCCUCUGGCCCAGCUCUCUUUCUCAACUCACACUAAGGUCCUGGAGCCCACAGUGGUGACCCUGUAAAUACCUCUGGGCCCAUCUCCAGAACAGCCCACCCUGGCCGCACAUCCUAGGAAAUCCUAUCCUCCCUGCAUGUGUGAACUCAGAGGCUGCAGCAGAAACCCGCAUACCACUGGUCUCCCAGGACGGAAGCUGGUGUGUGUCCCAUGGCAGUGAGGCAGGCAGCUCCAGGGCUGCUGGGGUGGCUCUGCACCGCAAGAGAGUCCAGGCAUCCAGGUCCCUGUGACCGUCCCUCCCUGCUGUCUCUGGGGUGGUGCCCUUAUUAGGAUGACCCAAGGUUCCCAAGGCCAUGUUCAUGGACCAUGAGCAACCAGGCAGAGCAGGGGAGGAGGCAAAGUCACGUGGCAUGUGCUUGGGUGGCCAAAUGCAUCAUCAAUAAGCAGGAGUAUUUUGUUUGUUUGCUCAUUUUUAGGGCCCCACGCAUGGCAUAUGGAGGUUCCCAGGCUAUGGGUCAAAUUGGAGCUGUAGCUGCUGGCCUUCUCCACACCACAGCAAUGCCAGAUCCGAGCCACAUUUGCAACCUAUACCACAGCUCAUGGCAACUCCAGAUCCUUAACCCUCUGAGCAAGGCCAGGGAUGGAACCCACAACCUCAUGGUUCCUAGUCGGAUUCGUUUCUGCUGCGCCACAAUGGGAACUCCUAAGCGGUCUUAUCUUGAAAGGAACUUUUCUUCUGCGCAGUAGUUCUCAACAGUGGGCAUCGCAUAUACAGUCCACCGUGUUGUAAACAGAUGUGCUGUCACCUAGGCUUUGUUGUUCCAUUUCUAGAGCAUAGGCAGGGCGGCUAUAAUAUCCAUCUUAACGGCCCUAGGGUUUUCUGAAUGGCAAAUGAGCAUUGGCUUCGAUUUCAGGUGCUAGUUGCCUAAAAGGAGCUUCCCAUAGUUAAACUUGUGGUUUCAAAACAUGCUGGGAAAUGUUCGCUGAUGGUUCCGUUGUGAAAGAACGUUUUGUUGCAAACAAUAUGGCCAAGCACUACAAGAUUCCCGUAUCCUCCAUCUGUAUCUGUCAUUACCAGCAGAUACACGCUGAUUUCGGACGUUGUCUGUUCAGAUCCUCAUUGAGGCAGGGACAGAGCAAUUGGCAGCCAGAUUUUCCUUUCUUUCUCUUUUGUUUCUUUUCUGUGGCCACACCUGUGACAUAUGGAAGUUCCCAUGCCAGGAGUGGAAUUAGAGCUGCAGCUGAGGCCUAUGCCACAGCCAUAGCAACUCUGGAUCCCAGCCACAUCUGCCACCUCUGCUCCAGCUUGCAGCCAUGUCGGAGCCUUAACCCAAUGAGCAAAGCCAGGGAUUUAACCCGCAACAUCACGGAGACAACCUUGGCUCUUUAACCCACUGAUCCACAAUGGGAACGCCGCAGCCAGAUCUUUUCUAGGUGGUGAGGGCCCAAAGGUUUUGACUAAUAUGUUCUAUUACAGUUCAGGCCACAUUUGACUCAUGGGACCGAAGGGAAUGAGUUUUGUGGGUUAAGGAUAUAGAUAGAGGAUGUUCCAACAGUUUUAGUUAGAAAUAGACAUGAGUAGUUCCCGUCGUGGCGCAGUGGUUAACGAAUCCGACUAGGAACCAUGAGGUUGCGGGUUCGAUCCCUGCCCUUGCUCAGUGGGUUAAGGAUCCGGCGUUGCCGUGAGCUGUGUUGUAGGUUGCAGACGCAGCUCGGAUCCCGCAUUGCUGUGGCUCUGGCGUAGGCCGGUGGCUACAGCUCCGAUUCAACCCCUAGCCUGGGAACCUCCAUAUGCCGCCGGAGCGGCCCAAGAAAUAGCAAAAACAACAAC